GACGAACGCUGGCGGCGUGCUUAACACAUGCAAGUCGAACGGUGAAGCGCCUUCCUUUUUGGUGGGUGGGGAUGGGUGGCGAACGGGUGAGUAACACGUGAGUAACCUGCUCCCUUCUUCUGGAUAACCGCAUGAAAGAGUGGCUACUACGGGAUAUUUUGGAUCUGUCGCAUGAUGGGUCUGGGAAAGAUAUUGUUUCGGUGGGGGAUGGGCUCGCGCCGUAUUAGCUAGUUGGUGGGGUGAGGGCUUACCAAGGCAGUGACGCGUAGCCGACCUGAGAGGGGGGGCGGCCGCACUGGAAGGGAGGAACGGCCGACGCGCCUACGGAGGGAAGCAGUAGGGAAGAAUACGGAACAGGGGGAGGCAGGAUGAAGCAGCGCCGCGUGGGGAGUGAUGGAGUCCUGAGGGUUGUGAUCUGCUUUGGGGAGUGAAGCAGUGUUGAAGUGUCUGUGGAUGGCUUGACGGUACCUGGAUAGAAAGCGCCGGCUAACUACGUG
rnacentral:rRNA from 1 species